UACGUAGGGACCAAGCGUUGUUCGGAUUUACUGGGCGUAAAGGGCGCGUAGGCGGCAUAUUAAGUCAGCUGUGAAAUCUCCGAGCUUAACUCGGAACUGUCAGCUGAUACUGAUGUGCUAGAGUGCAGAAGGGCAAUCGGAAUUCUUGGUGUAGCGGUGAAAUGCGUAGAUAUCAAGAGGAACACCUGAGGUGAAGACGGGUUGCUGGGCUGACACUGACGCUGAUAGCGCGAAAGCCAGGGGAGCAAACGGG
rnacentral:rRNA from 1 species